GAAAUGCGAUAAGUAAUGUGAAUUGCAGAAUUCAGUGAAUCAUCGAAUCUUUGAACGCACAUUGCGCCCGCCAGUAUUCUUGCGGGCAUGCCUGUUCGAGCGUCAUUUCAACCAUCAAGCCCCCGGGCUUGUGUUGGGGACCUGCGGCUGCCGCAGGCCCCGAAAACCAGUGGCGGGCUCGCUGUCACACCGGGCGUAGUAGAUUUUUCGUCUCGCCCAGGGCGUGCUGCGGGUUCCGGCCGUUAAAAAGCCUCUCUUUUAACCCAAGGUUGACCUCGGAUCAGGUAGGAAGACCCGCUGAACUUAAGC
rnacentral:misc_RNA from 1 species